CUAAUACAUGCAAGUCGAACGCUUUGUGGUUCAACUGAUUUGAAGAGCUUGCUCAGAUAUGACGAUGGACAUUGCAAAAGAGUGGCGAACGGGUGAGUAACACGUGGGAAACCUACCUCUUAGCAGGGGAUAACAUUUGGAAACAGAUGCUAAUACCGUAUAACAAUGACAACCGCAUGGUUGUUAUUUAAAAGAUGGUUCUGCUAUCACUAAGAGAUGGUCCCGCGGUGCAUUAGCUAGUUGGUAAGGUAAUGGCUUACCAAGGCGAUGAUGCAUAGCCGAGUUGAGAGACUGAUCGGCCACAAUGGGACUGAGACACGGCCCAUACUCCUACGGGAGGCAGCAGUAGGGAAUCUUCCACAAUGGGCGAAAGCCUGAUGGAGCAACGCCGCGUGUGUGAUGAAGGGUUUCGGCUCGUAAAACACUGUUGUAAGAGAAGAAUGACAUUGAGAGUAACUGUUCAAUGUGUGACGGUAUCUUACCAGAAAGGAACGGCUAAAUACGUGCCAGCAGCCGCGGUAAUACGUAUGUUCCAAGCGUUAUCCGGAUUUAUUGGGCGUAAAGCGAGCGCAGACGGUUAUUUAAGUCUGAAGUGAAAGCCCUCAGCUCAACUGAGGAAUUGCUUUGGAAACUGGAUGACUUGAGUGCAGUAGAGGAAAGUGGAACUCCAUGUGUAGCGGUGAAAUGCGUAGAUAUAUGGAAGAACACCAGUGGCGAAGGCGGCUUUCUGGACUGUAACUGACGUUGAGGCUCGAAAGUGUGGGUAGCAAACAGGAUUAGAUACCCUGGUAGUCCACACCGUAAACGAUGAGUGCUAGGUGUUUGAGGGUUUCCGCCCUUAAGUGCCGCAGCUAACGCA
rnacentral:rRNA from 1 species